AUACACUGUAAAUAAUUUUCGUUGUUUUCACAGUUUUUUACUGUUUUUCUCGACAGUUUCUUACUGUAUAAGUUGUUUACAGUUUGUUACUAUAGAUUUGUUGUUUCCACAGUAUUUUAAUGUAUUUUCAACAGUUUUUUACUGCAUAAGCUUUGUACAGUAGGCUACUGUAGUUUUCCAAUGCAUUAUGGGAAAUAUUACUCUGAAUACAGUAUUACCAACCAACUGCAAAACACAAUGACAAACGUCUAUUUAUAUCUUAAAUGCUUAAUUUUUUUGUGAGAUAUUUGGUUUAAUGUCUGUUUUCACAUCAGAUGCUCGGUGUGUUCCUUUAACAUAAAUCAGGUGCCUUUUCUGAGGCUUUAAUGAAAUCACCAGCCAAUUCAAUAGACAUACCAUCAGUUCUUAAUAUUGUUGCCUCUGUGUCACAAAAUGUAUUUUUAAGAUUAGUUUAGGCGAUAAUAUAUAUAUGUAUAAUCUUCAAAUAGCAGUCGAUUAGUUAAAAAAGCGCUAAUUUUAGAAUUUGAUUAAACAAAUGCGGAGGGUUCAGGCGCGAGUCGGUCACGUGAUGUGCUCCUCAGUUCUGUCAGUAGGGGGAGUGGGAGAACGCGUGUGUGUCGUCGUAUCUGUUCUGCUCAUCUAGCGCGUAUUUCUUUAUUAAUAUCUGCUGGGUGAAUAUUAAUACGUAUAUGCUAACAUUAAUUUUGUGACCACAAAAUGACAGCGAGCUAUUAUACGAGAUAUUGUGUCGUCGUGUUUGUCUUCACUCACUUCAUCAUUAUCUGCAAACAACUUCUGCAACUACACAAUGAUUGUCUGCCUGUGUGCAAAAUAAAGCACGUUCACUGUGUAAAACCCCGCGCAGGGCAUUUUCAAAUUAACGGUCAGGGCGAGUCUGAGCUUAUCGUGUUGUGUUGACAGAGACUUUGCUGAGUGUAUGUAAAUCUGGGCUACAGUCCACGACAAAUUUUCUACGGUAGAUUUACGCCUGCAUGCUGGUCCUUUCGUCUAUCGCGGGGAUAUCAUCACUUCAGCGGACAUCGCACUGAAGAGAUCCUGUGCUUGCGUGGCGGUGUGUUUGUGUGCUCACUUGGAUUGAGACCAGCAGUGCUUUUUUAAAAGUGGGUGAGUACUAACUUAUUAUUGUGUAGUUUCAUAAAAGCCUUACUCUUUUCAGUCACAUAACUUUUGUUCAUCUGCUAAUAAUAGGACUAUCCAUACACAAAGAUGUAUUGUGGAUUUAAGUAAUAUCUGCGAAUAUUUAUGUGAAAAUGUAUUAGUGUUCUGCUGACAUGAGAUCUGAAAUUGUGUUCUAGGACCUGAUAUGGAUUAAUCCAAUGAUCAACGUUUUCCUUUGUAUCCCUGUUUUGUAUACGCUGCCAUUACAUGAUGGUCAUAUGUCCCGGAUGAUCGGGAGAAGUCACGUGGUUCAAUUAUUAUUUUUUUUUUACGUGGUUCAAUUUUUUUUCAAUUUUUUUUUACCAUGCAUUUAGCAUCAGGCAAAGCCUGCAAUCAAUCUAUUAAGACAGAAACAAUAUCUUACUUAUUAUUAUGUUGUUAUGACAAUAUCAUGUGAUCAUCUGAGUUAGAACAAAAUCUAUUCAUUUUCAGGUAUUACUGUGCAAGUUCCCUGAAUCAUUCUGUUGAAAUGUUAUGUGUUUAAGAUUCUUUAUGACAUCAAGAUGUGGUUUGGGAAGGACCUUCAUCUAAAUCUGAAGACAGGACAUACUGGCUCAAAAAGGUACAAUAUUUUUUAUACCCAAUUUGAAAUGUUGAACAAUUACUUUACUUUACUUUACUGUACUGGACUGGUCAAGCGUUUGGUCAGGAACUGCCUAUACACUUGAAAAAUGCACAGAACUGGAACAGCACAUCAGUUGGGAGCACAUUAACAAGGAUGAAAUUUAUCCAAUAAUUAUUUUAAUAUUUAUAGGUGUUUCUGAUAUGGAGAAAAACCCAGCACUGCUCAUUUUAUUUCUUCAUCUUGAGAAUACCGCAAGUUUACCUUUUGUCUGGAAAAUGAUUCAGCAAAGCUAACACCAACAACAAUUUUUCAUGGCACUUUAAACCACCUUGAUGUGAGGAGCCAGCAUCAGAAUGGAUGGUGUCAAUAUCCUGAAAGUGGAGGUAACAGAGGUGGAUCUCGAGACUUGGCCAUGUUCUAGAUUAUAACUGGAUUAUCACAAGUGCUGUCGCCCCUGCUGUAUAUGACGCCCCCACCACCUACACCAGGUGUAGGAAAUGUCGGUCCUGGAGUGCCGUUGUCCUGCAGAGUUUUGCUCCAGCUCUAAACAAACACACCUGAACAACUAGAUCUGAAGAGUCACCAGAAAACUACAGGUAGGCGAGGUUUUAUCAGGGUUGGAAAUGAAAUCUGCAGGAUUUCGGCACUCCAGGACCGACGUUGCCUACUACUGACCUACACCUUCAUCCUGCCACCACCACCCAUACUACCUACAAAAAACUGUAUUGUAAUUAUGCUUUUCACUGUAUUGUAUGAUGUGGUUUUCUCAUUUAGGGUAACUACACUAUGGCAACAAUUGGAUACAUUGAUUGCUGACUGAUUUUGUUAUUUUUUCUUUACUUUUUGUUUAAAAUCUAAUCAUUUUUUUGUUAUUUUUGUUAAUAUUGUUACAAAUAUACAG